CCUACGGGAGGCAGCAGUGGGGAAUUUUCCGCAAUGGGCGAAAGCCUGACGGAGCAACGCCGCGUGAGGGAUGAAGGCCUCUGGGCUGUAAACCUCUUUUAUCAAGGAAGAAGAUCUGACGGUACUUGAUGAAUAAGCCACGGCUAAUUCCGUGCCAGCAGCCGCGGUAAUACGGGAGUGGCAAGCGUUAUCCGGAAUUAUUGGGCGUAAAGCGUCCGCAGGCGGUCUUACAAGUCUGUCGUUAAAGCGUGGAGCUUAACUCCAUUUCAGCGAUGGAAACUGUAAGACUAGAGUGUGGUAGGGGCAGAGGGAAUUCCCGGUGUAGCGGUGAAAUGCGUAGAUAUCGGGAAGAACACCAGUGGCGAAGGCGCUCUGCUGGGCCAUAACUGACGCUCAUGGACGAAAGCCAGGGGAGCGAAAGGGAUUAGAUACCCCUGUAGUCCUGGCCGUAAACGAUGAACACUAGGUGUCGGGGGAAUCGACCCCCUCGGUGUCGUAGCCAACGCGUUAAGUGUUCCGCCUGGGGAGUACGCACGCAAGUGUGAAACUCAAAGGAAUUGACGG
rnacentral:rRNA from 1 species